rnacentral:RNase_P_RNA from 1 species
CAAGACGGUUAUACGGUCGCGGGGCGCUAUAUGCGUCAUGAGGAAAGUCCGAGCAUCGCAGGGCAGGACGCCUGCUAACGGCAGGUGAAGGCGACUUUAAGGAAAGUGCAACAGAAAUAAACCGCCGCAAUUUUUUGCGGUAAGGAUGGAAAGGCGAGGUAAGAGCUCACCGUCGGAAUGGUAACAUUCCGAGCCAUGUAAACCCCGUCCGAUGCAAGAUUGGGAUAUCUUCACGUAGGGUUGCCCGCCCGAGGGUAUCCGUGAAUAUCGCUUGAGCCCGUCGGCGACGGCGGGUCUAGAUAGAUGACCGUACACGACAGAACUCGGCUUACAGACCGUCUUGAAUU